AGAGUUUGAUCAUGGCUCAGGAUGAACGCUAGCUACAGGCUUAACACAUGCAAGUCGAGGGGAAACGAUAUUGGAAGCUUGCUUCCGAUAGGCGUCGACCGGCGCACGGGUGAGUAACGCGUAUCCAACCUGCCCACCACUUGGGGAUAACCUUGCGAAAGUAAGACUAAUACCCAAUGAUAUCUCUAGAAGACAUCUGAAAAGAGAUUAAAGAUUUAUCGGUGAUGGAUGGGGAUGCGUCUGAUUAGCUUGUUGGCGGGGUAACGGCCACAAGGCGACGAUCAGUAGGGGUUCUGGAGAGGAACGGUCCCCCANAUUGGAACUGAGACACGGUCCAAACUCCUACGGGAGCA
rnacentral:rRNA from 1 species